rnacentral:rRNA from 1 species
CAAUAGCGUAUAUUAAAGUUGUUGCGGUUAAAAGCUCGUAGUUGGAUUUCUGUCGGUGAGUAGCAGUCCGCUCACAGUGGUUGGUACUUGUUAUCCCACCGGCAUCUUCCUGGGGACUGUGUCUGCUCUUUAUUGAGUGGCGCAUAAUCCAGGACUUUUACUUUGAGGAAAUAGGAGUGUUUCAAGCAGGCAAUCGCCGUGAACAUGUUAGCAUGGAAUAAUAGCAUCGGACCUCGUUCCAAAGCUGUUGGUUUCUUGGACCGAGGUAAAGGUGAAUAGGGGAUUGUUGGGGGCAUUGCGUAUUUAAUCUGUCAGAGGUGAAAUUCUUGGAUUUGUUGAAGACGGACUACUGCGAAAGCAUCUGCCAAAGAUGUUCUCAUUGAUCAAGAACGAAAGUUAGGUGAUCGAAGACGAUUAGAUACCA